rnacentral:sRNA from 1 species
UUGAAUGGAGACCUAGUCCAAAGACUGUG